CUGGUCCACAACACAAGUCAACAAGGCCUGGCAUUGGAGGAGCUGAUCUCCAGGGAGCGUGGAGAAAGAGGCGGAGUGAGAGGAAAUGCCCACAGCAGCUGCAAAACAUCACUGCAUUCUUGCACAUCUCAAGCUGUGUGACUGUUUUAACCUCAAAACUGAACUAAAUCCAUGUGAGAUGUCACGAAAAUAACUAAAAAAUCAUCUGCCAGGGUUUAGCGAGCACAACACAAAGCAAAGGUGGCUGCUGCCGGGCCAUCGCUCAUGGGCCCUCCCUCUCCAGCUUCCCCCAGCACCUCAGGAGCCUGUCUGUCUGGGUGAGGACGGCUCUGGGACUAUAAGAAUACCCCACACUUGUGUUUUUAAGGCCAUUGUAAGUGAAAGGGUUUUAUACAUUAAAAACCCGUGACAAGCCGCCUCGAGCCAGCAGUGUCUCGUGACAGAGCGGUUUCCAGGCUGAAUUCCUUCCUGCCGAGCACGCCCAGCAGACCCCGGCGUCCGCACAUGUUUAUUUAGACAGAUUUCUCUCUCUACCUCCGGAAGGUUGGCCCAUCAUUAGCGAAGUAAGCCUCCCCUGCCUCUCAGUGCCAAGACUCUUCAGGAAGUGGUGAGGAUACACACAACUUUCUCUACCCUCUCUCUCCAUUCUAUCACUCGCCCACUCUUUCCAGAACCUCCCUCAAACACGCCAGACUCCCUCGGAGCCACAGGGCGGUCAGCUCUGAAGGGAAACACACCUUUUAGAAGGACAGUCUUUUCUCUUCAAGGCCCCUCUCCCCCCCUCCCCCGCCCUUCCCUCCCUCCUUUGGCCAGAGGGUGAGCACAGCUCUUGGGUCUGUCCUUUCUGCAGCUGCUCUGAGCAAAAAGAACCCCACGUGCUUGUGGCGAUGACCACACAGACUAAAGCACUGGGUCUUGUUCAGACAGCUGACCUGGGCCAUCAGCUGGAACCUCUGAGGACUGGAAACCCACUUCCCACCCACCUGUGAAAUGACCCGCCCCUCCCUCUUCAGGACACGCCUGUGGUGAGGCGCUCCAAAGAGAAGCGAUUACGAGAGAAAGAACAGGAUGCGCUGAUGACCUGAGAGGUGACCGUCUGGGUGGGUGAGGAACCUGACAUCCUUAGAAUGACCCGCCACUGAGUCACCCACCCCUUUAAGCAUCGGAUGGAAGAUACAAAGCCUUUCCCCAGAGAAGCUGUAAAAUACACACAGGAAUAAUUUGCCUGAAGUCACUUGUGACUCACUGACACACACACCCCAGGGCUGCAUGGACCCCUGGCCGAGAAUUCCUGUUUUAGAGGCAAGUUAGAAGCAGCUGAUGACAGGAGUCCCUCUGAGGAGGGGCGGGAAUUCGAUCUUAACCACAAACACAUUUCCCAGGGCACGAGGACACGCACAGCCAACAGCUGCAAAAGAAGGGGGUGAAGAACAGAUGCUCCCCGAGGAAAACGCUUACCUCAGGGGUUAACCCUCGCGGAGCACCCCCGUUUAUGCUCUCUGGCGAGGGGAGAACGGGCCCCCUGAACUGCAGUGGCUGGUCCAUCUGGAAGGGAUUAAACACAUCAACAGAAGAACUCAAGCUCACAAAACCAGUUCGCCUUGGUAAAUAUUUGUUUUGUUUUGCUUCCUCCUGCAGGCCGAUAGCUUCCCAAAGGCCAAGUACUCCUGCUUCACGGAGGCAGCAGGCGGCGUGUGCUCAGCCCACCGGUGUGGGGCCCGGGGAACGCACGCUCUGGCUCAGCCACGGAGGGCCCACGGCCGGGACAGGCUGCUGCGGCUCCAGGCCGGGCUCCCUGUGCAGGAGCCUCUCUUCUCGGGAAGAUGGCUGUGGCGCCAGCAGCUCUCCUGGCCCCUCUCCUGGGUGUUGGCUCGAUGUUCUCAGCUGAGCCUCUUUUUUUUCUGGUUUAAGUUGAUGUUAACCAAUUUACACAGGUGCAGUAAUGCACGAGAAUUACCACUACCCAAGAGUUCACUACAUACAGUUUAACUUAUUUUUUAAUUGAUUUCAGAGAGGAAGUGAGAGGGAGAGAUAGAAACAUCAAUGAUGAGAGGGAAUCAUUGACUGGCUGCCUCUCACACACCCCCUACUGGGGAUCGCGCCCGAAACCCAGGCAUGUGCCCGGAAUUGAACUCUGACCUCCUGGUUCCUAGGUAAAAUGCUCAACCACUGAGCCACAGGGGCUGGGUAGCUGAGCCUCCUUACGUCAUCUCUUACUUCGCUGUCACCGUAGAAGUGCACGCGUUGCUCCCAACUACUUUUCUUUGGCUAAAGCAGGUUGCAUAAUGAUGCCUGGUUUUACUGGGAUGGGGAAGUAUGGUCCAUCGGUGGGCCCAGGGGCAGUGAGAUGCAAAUGAUGAUAAAAGUUGUAAUGUCUGCUCAGUGACUACAGGAAACACGCUUGAAAAUUAAAAUGAAGUUUGAGGAAUGUGUGCUAAGAUGCUCUUUCUGAAUGGGAAAACCACCCCAUUAGAUUUAAAAAAUAGACGACAGGCUUUCCACUUCCGGCCACGAGGGGAGCACAGGCCAGCCGCUCCCCUUGAAGAAGACACAACACAUGAAAUACAGUUUCAGACACUCGACAGCAGCAGAGCAGGACUCUGAUCACUGGGGGAAUGGAAAUAGGCCAGCCCCACGAUGGCCCCGAAUUACUGCUGGAUGAGGUUCCAGGCUCAGUACAGGGUGGGGAAACCAAAUAGAGGUUCAUGGUCUCGCCAUGUCCAGGAGACAGAGAUCAGCGUUCAGGGUGACCACAGUGGGUAGGACUUGCAGGGCAGCGUACAGGAGAGGAGAAGGAAAGAGAGAUCAGAUGUGAGACAGGCAGGCAGUCGGUUCAGGAGAUCUGCGGGCGAGUCCCCUAGAAACAUGUUGGCUGAACAUGGUUCUGCGCACUCAUGAGAGGAAACCAAGUGAGCACAGUGACUCAACCCCCAGAAACGAACAGGACGGAGGCUGGGCGGCCACCAGCCAAAGAGUAGACAUCCCAACGCAGGCCUGGGUCAGGGCCUGGACAGGCAUCCUGAGCAGGGCGCAGGCCUGUCCUCUGCAGCCAGAGGGAGCCACUGCCCAUGCCCACCCAGCUGUCCUCCUCCAGGGGGGCUGGGCCCACCUGGGGCUCUGCUCCCACCAGGCGACCUUGUCCAGGUCUCCGCGUCCAGCCUCACCUCGCUUGCUGGCUGCUGAGGGGUCCAUCUCUGCUCGCUGGUUAGUUUGAGAUCAACAAGGGUACAUAGUAAAAAGAGGGUGUUGCAUUUGCCCGGGUUACAGCUGCUCUGCAGCUCACCUUUUAUCGCCUGCCAGGUGAGGUGCCUGGAGCAGCCCGUGUGACCUGGGGGCCAGGCCCUACUUUUGAAUUGGCGGGGUUGACGGAUGGAAGUGGGGUAUCUGUGAUUGCUGAGCGGGCCCUGAAGGCUCCCCGAGGUUCCAUGAAGAAGCGGCCCAAAUGCCCCUGCCCUGGCCACCACUCCUUCCUCCCCGGCCUGCCCGCGCGCCCUGGGUGUUGUUUUCAGCGGAUGGCCACAAGAAGCGAUGACUUAAAAAAAUCACACACGAACACCAAAAAGUGCUUUGAAAAAUGGUUUGAGAAUUUACUGUACAGGUUUUUUAAACAAUUUAUUUAUAUGUUUGCUUCUACAUGCUCUUACAUUUGUGUAAAACAUUUAUACAUAUUCUUUACAAUUUGUACAUAUAUUAAAUGGCUAUAUCAUAAACACUGUUCUAUGAGAUUUUAUAAAAGAAAAAUCAAGGGAAAUUACUUAUAAAACAUUAACAAAAACCCGUGACACUAAAGAACAAGAAGUUCUCAUUCACGUCCAUCUGAUUUCCUUUUCUACUUAUUUUUUGGUUUCACUUCAUUCAUGCGGCCCGACGUUCAUUUUCUGUAACAGCGCGAUCAGGGCAGAGCGAAAGCCGUGGCGAUCGCGGAGUAAGGCAAGAAUGCAGACGGGACGCGUCUGCAGGAAGACAGUGUGCGGGGCGCUCAGGCCGUUAACUGAAGUACCAGGACCAGGAAACCCCGGGGAUUAGCGCACAUUAUUCCACUGCCACCCUUCGCAGCCGCUAAGCUUUUCCAUUUGGUGGGGAGGGGCAGCCAGGCCACUGGUUUUCAUCUGUCCGGUAAUACCAACGGGCACACUGUCUGCACCCAAAUCAAGUGGCCAGUCCUGCUCUCACUUCUCAUUCUGCCUGCCUGGGCGGCUGAAGACUAGACACAGGAAGAAGCCUGAGGCUGGCGUCUUCUCGCCCGACCAGGAGGAGCGCUCGCUCCUUCCUGAGCACAGUCAGCUCAGGGGUCAGCUGUCCCCCACGUGCCCUUUCCCGGGUAGAGCUGGCCCUGCUGAGGAAGGACGAGCAGGCGAGAAUGCCCUCCUCGUGGCGAUGCCCUCCAAAACCUCCUGGCGGCGGGCAGCGGCAUCGCUGCAGAGACCGCCUGUCCCAGCCCCGCAGCCCCUCUGCCUCCUUUCCUGAGAACGCAAGCACAUGAAUCAUAAAUGUGUCAGUGAAAGGCAUGUGGGUUUUCCUAAACGGACAGGAGUUCCAAGGCAUUGAAAAGAAUUAUAAAAAUAUAUACAAACGUAUUUUUUUUAUUCUGGCAUAUUCCAUAUUUUUAAGAAAGCAAUUAGUAACCAUCUGGCCUUGGGUAAGAACUGGAAGAUCGUGGGUUUAAAAAUUACAAAUUUAUGUAAAAUAUAAGUGGGGAAACCUCUAAUUUUCCAUUCAAAAUUCUGGUAAUUUUAAAUACUUUCCAAAAAUA